rnacentral:tRNA from 1 species
GGGAAUAGAUAAGUUCUGGUGGGCUUACCGGUCUUCAAAACCGAGUUGUGGUGCUAAUACCAUCAUGGGUAGGUUCAAUUCCUACAUAUUCCCGCCA